rnacentral:lncRNA from 1 species
UACCCUGACCCUAGAAAUUCCCCCCCCCCUUAAAAACUUCUACCUGAGUUAUUCUGGGAUGUAUAUCAUUUCAGAGUGUCCUAAAAACAAACCGAUUUCGGAAGGUAUUUCUGUGAUGGCAAGUUAAGCUUGUGCCUAGGACAGUGGUGAUGGGGAAGGCGGGGUUGGGAUUACUUCCUGUUGGGGCCAACCGUGAACUAAUAGGGCCAGGAGAUAAUUAAGAUUCAAGGGGUACUGAGUUCCAGUUAAGCAAAGGAUAGGCUAUACCAGGUAAAUUCCCUUGUUCAUCAGUUCCCCACACAGAAUUUGGGGCAUCUUGGUUUCAGUGUUCACCUACUUCUUUCAUGUUUUCCUGCUGCCCUUUGCUCCUAUCAUGAAGGCGAGCCCAGCACACCACCUUGCCCCUGCCCCAGGCAUGGUGUCGAGGAAAUAGAGUUUGGAAGGAAGGGUUCAACCCAGCCUUCUCAGAAGAGGAAAAGUUUGGUCUGAAAUACAACAAAAACUUUGGAGAGGACCUGAGAUGAGGUCUGUAAAUUGUGAUGUGUGAUGCUUCUCUUCCCUGGGGCAGAUUUUUUUACAAUCCAGAAAUAAAACCAAGAAUCCCUUGGAGCCCUUUAGGGGAAGCCUACCUGGUGGCAGCCCCUGCAUGGCUAUUUCCAGGAAAGUAUGGCGCUUCCACAUACUUGUGUCCUUCCGAGGUGUGUUCUUACCCUUCCAGAAUUAAUUAAUGUUCAAGGGCAAGCCUAGCAUUCCAGGGAGGUUUUUUACAACCGGAGAAGAGCUGGAAUUCACUUGAGUUCUGGCAGAAUAGAGAAUUUAUCUACCUAACCUGAGGGCCAGAAUAGAUCUAUUUUGUCUUCUGUCUUCAAGUUAGAUUAUAAAAUACCGUAUUUAUCCUACAAGCCUAACCUCUCUGUUAGACCGAGCCACAGAUUGCCAUUUUUUAAGACAAACAGUUUGCAGUUUACUUCAGCCAGUUCCUCUUUCGGUAAGUAUCCAGAAACUUCUGGGAAACAUCUGGGGUUUGCAUCCAAACUGAGUGAAGAUCAGCUGAGUUUUCUUCAAAUGGGUCUUUUUCACCUCUUUAAGUGGAAGUGGAGAAGAACUGGGCAUGUGUAGAAAAGGUGGUGUGGAGGAGCCCUGUUGUCCUUGACUGGGAUUCUUGUGGCAGUGUCCCUGGAGGGGUGUCUCUAAAGAGAGCGAGGGGUGAGGAAUAGGGCGGGAAGAAGCCCCCAAGGUCAGACCACCAGAACCAUCAUUUCACAGAUGGGAAACUGAGGCAGGCACUGAGCCAUGGCUGACUCCAGCAUGGAAGCAGAUCUCAGCCCCCUGUCCUGAAGUCCCUGUCUACCUCCCGUCACCUCCCUCCCUUUUCUGGCCCACCUGCCUUUCAGUGUUGAUCACUUUACAAACAGGGACAGAUUAUAGCUGAGAAGGAAAAGUCGGGGAGUUCCUGUUGUGGCAUAGCAAAAAUGAAUCCGACUAGGAUUCGUGAGGGAUAUGGGUUCAAUCCCUGGCCCCGCUCAUGGGUUAAGGAUCUGGUGUUGCCCUGACCUGCAGUGUAGAUUGCAAAUGCGGCUCAGAUCCUGCUUUGCUGUGGCUGUGGUGUAGGCUGGCAGCUGUAGCCCCGAUUCAACCCCUAGCCUGGGGUAUAGCCUUAAAAAAAAAUUAUGCAUUUUAUUCACACACACACACACACACACACACAUACACACACAUUUUUUUUCAGAUUCUUUUCCCAUAUAGGCUAUCAAAAAGUUUGGAAGAAUAUUAAAAGUUUGGAAAAAGCAAUAAGCAUAACUAUGACCUGCAUGGCUGGGGCUGGGAUUACUGUAGGGGACAGACCAGACCAGUGACCAGUUGUUGUGACCAUUGAAUGAGGGUUAGAACAGUCUGUAGCCAGACUGACUCUGCAGAAUUCCAUCUACACCCCCCCCCACACACACACCCACACACACACCCACACCCAUACCGUUAAGCCCUCAGGUGCCAGGAAGACUGGAGUUGCUGUCUUCUUAGAUAUUUAUGUGUCCACUGUCCAAAAGGAUAAAGCCCAGACCUUGGAAACAUUUCAAGAUCAUAAAAUCCAGGCCCAGGAGACUCUGUGACUCCUGAAGAUAUUUUAUUUAUAUCCCAAAAGGUCAAGGUAAGAACCCAGGGUCCUUUCCCCUCCCAUCUUAAAGGAGCAAAGGUUUCUCUCCUUCUUUUCUAGACAUGGAAAAAAGCACUUCCUUUUCUCCUGCAGUUCCUGAAGCUCUGGGAUGUAUCUGCCCCUGUAGAAAGUCCUCAUUUGGAAAUUCCUCUUCUGGCUUACUGGGUUAAGAACCUGACACAGUGGCCAUGAGGAUGUGGGUUUGAUUCCUGGCCUCGAUUAGUGGGUUAAGGAUCUGGCAUUGCCAUGAGCUGUGUGUAGGUCACAGAUGCGGCUUGGAUCUGGUGUUGCUGUGGCUGUGGUGUCGGCUGGCAGCUGUAACUCUGAUUCAACCCCUAGCCUGGGAGCCUCCAUAUGCCGCAGGUGCAGGGGGUGAAAAAAAGAGAAUGUCCAUCAGCUCUCAUCAUCUCGCCCAGGAGUCUGGGUCUGGGAGCCGACUCUGCAGGGUCUGUGGCUGUGUGGUAUGGGUGUGUGUAUCCGCAGAGAGCACCUUCCCCAACCAUUGCCUUGGGAUUCUGCCGUGUCCACGUAUCUAAAGCACAUAACUGGAAGUGGGCAACAUCUCAGAGCCUGCACGUUUUGAUGAACCGGUCCAUACACUGGGCUCUUUGCUGGUCCAGAGAAUCCCGGGUCCCUGUGUGUGGAUCAGGUCUGAGGACCCAGGAAGCACAGGACACGGGGUGUGUCAGCAGGACUGAGUAACUUCAGACAACCUCACUGGCAUUCCUUCUUUUACCAAAGAGACCCUGUGUAUCACUAAGCGGCCAAUUGUAGCUGGAUUCUUUUACAGUAAAGUGUAGUUCUAAUGCAAUGCCUCUGUCCAUGCUGUUCCUGAAAGGAGUGAAAAAAAUGCUGGCGUCUCCCGGUGUUUCCACUUUUGAUCUGUCUCAUCUGGGAAUUUAAUACAUUUUCUGAUCAAAGUCCAAAGUCUCUGCUUUGCUCCAGCUUUAAUCUUUGGCUAUAAAGUCUCCCUUCUGUUACACACACACACACACACACACACACACACACACACACACAUCAGUUUACAGCCAAACAGCAGUUUCGUUUGGGGGACUGGAGGGGUGAGUAGGGAAUACAUAUCUAGAUAAAGGGGUAAUCAAUGCCUUCACUAUGGGAAGGUAGUUUGGACAGUUCAGGUAAACGUUAACCAUUUUUCAUGUAAGUGUUCAGUAUGUUUGAGAUCUUUAAUUCUAUACAAUGAAUUUUGUUCAUUGUUGAAAUGGCCCUAAGCCAUAUUUUUCUGUUAUUUUAAAAAAUAUUUAUGUUGAGAAAAAGACGGAAAAUAAUUUAAAUUCAAAUAUUUCUCAAACUCCAUAUUCACUUAUGUUACUUUUUUUUUUUUUUGAGAAAAAAAAUUUGUUUCCCUUAAGAAAAGUGAUAACAUUUAUCAAGAAGUCCAAAGGAUCCCUUCACAAAGGAAAACUCCUUUACCUCCCCUGACAGUGAGUUGUUCAGACAG